ensembl:lncRNA
CCAGAAUGGUGACUGAGGUGAUGAGAUUAAUUUUUAAAAAUAGCAUAUUUUGAUGUUAGUUUUACUAAGUAAAUCCAGAAAAAAAUUUAAACUGCAUGGAAUAUUUAUACUCAUUCUGAAGACUUUUUUUUUUUUUUUUUUUUUUUUUUUUUGAGCAACAGCCUUCAAAAAACAAACAGAGUUGUGAUUUCCUCUUUUCUAUGUGUGCAUGCUCACUCUGUUAAGGCUUUCAUUUUCUGUCUUCAAGAGAUUUUAUUUUUAGAUUUGAAUUCUUUUAUAGAACAGAGUAAAAGUUCAUACCAUCCACUUGCUCUUCCCUACAGAUAGGCUAAAUUAAAAUCCAGAAGGCUGGUUUCAUAGUCUCAUCUCCCACCCAAUUUCUUCUGUCCCAUUGUCUUCAGGGUGCCUGGAUUUGGUGGGUCGUGCAGAGCCAAGCAGAACCAGUAGCCUGUUCUGGAGGCUCUGCUACCCCUCAAGUGCAGUGGGAAUUCCUUUCUGCCUGAGUGAAAUGUCUAGUCUAUAAAACCGGUUAGUAAAACAUACUGUAAUUUGGAAUUUGGUAAUACCGGCUUCAUUUUGACAGAACCCAGGCUGACCCACAGCAUUACAUCAUGAACAGAUGUGAAUUCUAAAGGAGUGGAAUGAUGAAAAGCUACUUCAGAAAGAAGAAAACUGAGUCAAAGGAGGUCUUCAUUCUCCUAUAGCUUCUAAACUAAUACUCAUUCUUGGAUUACUUCCUCGUGGAACCCAGCCAGAACACUGUGAGAAUCCCAAGCCAUGUGGAGAGGCCACGUUUGGCACCCCAGCAGACAGUUCCCACUGAGUUCCUGCCUGGCAACCACAUCACCUACCAGCUAUGGGGGUACCAUCUUGGUCUUUCCAGUCUAACCAAGUGCCAGUCUUAUAAGAUUGCAUGGAACAGAAGAACCGCUUGGCUGAACCCAGUCAAUGCAAUUUGUGAGAGAGAAUUUUAGAAGAUGCUGUUUUAAGCAACCCAAGUUUUAGGCUGGUUUGUUCAAUAGCAAAAAAUAAUUGAAACAGAAUUGGUAUUGGACACCUAGUACUGCCAUGACAAAAACUUAAUGUAACAUUGUCUUUGGGACUGGUAGCAAAUGGAAGCUAUAAGGGCCUUGAGGAGACUGUUGGUGAAAUUGAAAAGUACAGCAGGAAAGUUACGUGUAGGAAAGUUGGACAAAGGAGAACCAAGUUAUGUCCUAGUAGAAAACAGUGCAACUGUUGCCUAUGGACCCAUGGAAGAAGAAGUAGCAGAUGAACAUGGAUCUGGAAAAGGCUAUUUCCAGAAAAAACGCCAAAAUUUACUCAUUCUGUUGGCCAAAGCAAGUCUGAAGUCAAGCCCAUAUUUAAAGGCACGAGAAUGGGUUUCACUUCCAAUGAGAUAAACAGAAAUAAUUGUGGCUUUGGUCAAUCCAUCAUAAGGGGAAGUUUGUAUCUGAAGGGUAUAUAAUGGCAGCAGGUAGUGCAAGAGGACUCAGACAAACACCCCACCACCAGCACCACCACCACCACCAAAUUCUGACUUAAGAAACACAUGGGAAAGAAAAGGUAAGUGUAUAAAACCCUUCCACCUUGCAUAGAGUAAUGGGUUGAUUUAAUCUUUAAUUAGGAGGGCUUGCCAAUUCUGCAAACCUGCCCUUUGCUUCCUCUAUUAUCCCUGAAAGUAAUCAAGCAGACCAGCCAGAAUAAUCACAGAUAUAAGUAGGAAAUUUGCUUCCACUAAGAGAGAACAAACCAGUUUUAUUGUUUCCUUGAUGUUGAAUUAAGUAGCUAGUCUGGUUUUUCCAUUAAACAGAAUUAAAAUCCACAUCCAAGCAAAUUACUCGGCUCUGCUUUAAACAAAAGACCAUCAUUGUCAAGACAUAGGCUGUUUCUAUUUUAUCACAGGAAGAGAUGUUAAGGUAGGUUAAUGUCUUUAGAAAUUAUUUAUCCUGGAAAAUCUCUUGUGCAUUAUACUGAAGUAGACUGGGAAUUAGGGGACAUUAAUCUGAAAGAAAAGGCCAUUGCUGCCUUCCUCCAUUAAAAGAGACCACAGUUAUAGACAAACCCCCAAACACCUAAAUAGUUAGAUCUUUUUGUCUUUACAAAUUCUAAUAUUUAACAGCUGUGUUCUAUUGUGUUGCUUGUGUGUGCCCCAAAGAUGGGCCACAUACCUUUACACAUGGUUUUUAUUCAUCCAUGAUCAUUUGAAGGUUAGUGAGGUGGUCCUGGGGAAAAAUUGGGGAUGACCAGGGAGUUUACAUUUGGAAUUCUUGGCCUCAUUUUCCCCGUCUUUUUCCUAGUUUCAUAACAAUCCUCUCUGCAGAGGAAAAGGUGAGACCCUAGAAGCUGAGACAAACAGGUCAGGGAAGGGGAGAAUAAGAAUAAGGGGUGAACUCUGAUUGCAGAGACAGGUAUGUGCCUCUGCAUUAAUCUGUUGAAGGAGAAGGACAAAGGACCCUGACCUGACUUCUCUCAGAUCCAUUAAUUCAGGGGUGGUGAAGGUCUUAACAGAUACGCUAAGAACUUCCAAUCUGCUAUCUCAAUUUUCAAAAACACAGUGAAACUGCAAAGUGAAUAGAGGUCGACAGCCAGUCUGUGCAUUUAGAAAAGCAAGUUUAGGAAGGACACAGGUUGCUAUAAAAGUUGGUAGGAAAACUGUUCUGUGACUCAGCCAGUUUUCCUAACCUACACUUCUUACUCCAUAAAAAGGCAAACCAUCUUCCUAUUGAAGAUUUUGGAGGGAUUUCCUGCCCUAGGAGUGCUGAUGGGUCCUGAGGUCUCCAGUGGUCUGGGAUCACCAGCUUGUCUCAGCGACAAAGAAUCUGGAUAAAAAUGGCCCAAGUACAGAUAAUUCUAAAGAACUGUCUCCCCUUUUCCUCCCUCCCCUCCAUGGUUUUCUCUUCUCUGCAUGUUUCUCUCUUUCUUUUAGAUUAGGAUUUCCAGAGUGCAAGAAAUCUUGAUUCUAGUUGUGACACUCCCUUGAACUCACUUAUAAUAAUGAUAACUUGUGCUAGUCAUUUUACCAUUCCAUUCCAUUUUCCCAUCUAUAAAUUGUGGGAUUACUCCUUACCUCUAGAGCUAAUAUCCUAUGAUGCUAUACCCUGGGUCUGAGUUCUCCCAGGGCCCCCAAUUUUCCUUAACCACAGCCCAAAAGGCUUUUGUAGAAGAUGAAUGACUUCUCUGUCCUGCAGUGUGCUGUUUGUUUUGUUUUGAACAGAAAACUAAUUAGCACAGGUGGACAAAGAAAUACAGUUUGGGGAGAAAAAUUAACUGGAAUGUCUUACGCGGAAACUAGAUGGUGUUUCUAUAAUAUAUUUUCUAUUCUAGUUCAACAUACUAACAAUAGCACACAGCACAGCUGGAGGUGGAAAUUCCAGAGACAAGUACAAAUUUAUCCCCAAUCUAUCACAGCCAUAACAGAUAUCUCUAAUCCAGUGGUAGGAAUGAUCCAUAGCAAGCAUUAUUCGGCUGGCUCUGAAAUGCCUCUUGUGCAACCUUGGGUUUGGUGAGGUUACUGAGGGCUUUGGGUUUGGCUGGGGAGAAAUGUGGGAGAAUGUGCUUUUUCAUUUACAGAGCGUGGUUAGCUUGCACAGGGAGGGAAUGGGCUUGUGGAUGACCAUUCCCAAGGGUUCUAUUAUCAGAAGAGAAAAAACAGUUACCAAAUCAUGAGUAAACAUUGAAGCUGAGGUAGAGAGGAAACAAAUACGAUCCCAUAUUUGCAUCGUCUUGUAGAGGAGAGCUCAGCCAAGGCAGAAGUUCAGUGUGGAGUGUGCUCAUAAGUAGUUGGUCCAGUGCCCAGCCGGAUGAAUAAGAUUCAUCUUUCUCCCCAAACAAGCGUUUCCUGCUGUUUAUUUAUUUAUUUAUUCAUUCAUUGCUUUGUCUGUUUGUUCAUUUUUCUGUUAAAUAUCUCCUAGAUUUCCAUGCUCACAGCGCAGAGUUGUCCUCAAAGUUUCGUGUAUCCUCCUUCUGUAUUUUUGUAUGUUUUAUGUACCCUACUGGAUCAUAAAUGGAUGUCAGGCAAUGUUUCUUUCAUGUUCAUUUAGCUCUGUACCUUUUACAUGAGAGCCUCCAUACAUUUUAUAAACGGAUGUUAAAAGCUAACAAAUGAUUUCUUCAGAUCCGCGAAGCAAGUAGUGUAGCAUGAGAGUAGCAGCAGGAUGGAGAGUACAAAUUUGAGCAGUGAUAACAAUCAUAACAACAAUGACAUAUUCAUUGAGUGCUCAUAGAUUCCAAGCCUUAUGCAAAUCAUAUAGAUACGACGGCAUGGAAGAGUAAAUAAGAAUAAACAGAUAAGCAUGUUUGUUACUGUUACAGACUGUACAUUUUUUUUUUUUUUUAAUUUUUAGGGUUGCACCCGUGGCAUAUGGAGGUUCCCAGUCUACGGGUCAAAUUGGAGCUGCAGCUGCCAGCCUACACCACAGCCACCACAACCUGGGAUCUGAGCCAUGUCUGCCACCUAUACCACAGCUCAAGGCAAAGCCAGAUCCUUAACCUACUGAGUGAAGCAAGGGAUCGAACCCAAAUCCUCAUUGAUCCUAGUUGGGUUCAUUAACGACGAAGCCACGAAGGGAACUCCAGAUUGUACAACAUUUUACAGAUUAGAAAACUGAGGAGCAGAGGAGUUAAGAACCAUAUUCAAAGUCAUAUCAUCCAUAAGCAUUUGUAUUAAAUUCCAGAAGGCCUGACUGCAGAUCUCAGCAUGAAACAAAAUUAUUCUGUGCCUCAAUCUCUGUGUCUCCUUCAGCUCACAAAGGGCAAGCAUGUCAUGGGGUGUCCUCUUGCUUUGUCUUUCUCUUGCUCCUGCACAACGUCUUGGACUCCCUGACCCUUGAACCAGCUGCCUUAGAGCUAUCGUCAGAGUUCAAGGUCAGAGGGUCCAUGGGUAGCCAGGACCACAUUCCUUUCUCCCAUUAUGUCCAGAUGUACAGCUCUGGGCUUUGCCAGGUACCUGAGGAUUGGGCAGGAUAAAUGGAGUAACUGAGUGUCCCCAGAGGGCUCCUCCUGACUCCAGGCUUCCCCACGGACCUCACAUUCUGUGGGCAGAGAUUCCCAAUAUACAAGAGAAGUACCAAAUAUCGAGUGGUGAUAAUGAAAAAUGAAAAGUGAAGCAGAGUGGAGGAAAGGGCAUGAGCAGGCUGUUUUAGGUGGGGUGAUCUGGAAGGGACUCUUUUAUAAAGUGCCAAUUAAUAUGAAGUAAAAAUUUUGAAGGAAGCUUCCUGAAUGUAUGCACAGCCACUGAUUACAGUAUUUUUUAUUUCAUUUGGUGUAUGCUGUCUUAGGAAGCAGGUUCAACCAUACUAAAAAUAGAAACUUAGGCAAUGACCACACAUACAUACACACAGCCAUAUAGACAGACACGUAGACACUGACACACACACGAACAUACAUCAUGAAUGAAAAUUACGUGGCUAGGGGUAUUUUAAAAGUAUUAAGCCAAAGGAAGAUCUCCUAGACAAUGUAAGAUUUACAAGCCAGAUAGGGGAGUGUUUAGGGACAAGAGCUUUUCUGCACUCCCAGGGUCAAGCUCCUGGCUGUCACCUAUUCCACCUAUGCUCAAAGACAGGACUUCUCUAGAUCAGUAGGCUUUCAGUUUGAUAUUCUUAUAAUGUGGUAUUUAGCUUUAAGCUCCUCAAAAAGACAUUUCAGGGAUAUAUUUGAAUGCAAAUUCCAGCCUAUUAUUGAAACAACUGUUCGAUCAUAAAACCACUCCUGACAUGUGAGGGAUUAUAGGCUGGAGAAAUAAAUGAAAGUACAAUUUAUUAGUCAUUGCACCAUUCAGUUUUGAGGAAAUGCAACCCUUGUACUUCCUGUCAAACGAUUAUUAAUAAAAUUAAUACGUCUUUCCCUUUAAACUUAUAAAAUUACACCCAAUGCAAUAGAUUAAUUUCUUACAUGUCAUCUUUUUGGAACAAAGCAGGAAGACAGGAGAAAAGAAUUCAUUUCUUUGAGCCAUUCUCUGCAGUUUAGCCUCUGACAGUCAAAUUUCUGUGACAGUGUGGUCCUUCAUGAACAGGUGCCCAUUGCAGAAAAGUUCAACCAUCCAAGGGUCUGCUAACAUGAUACAAGAGAAUCCAAACAUGCUUUUUAUCCACCUUAAUACAUCUUAGUCCUCCUCUCUGUAUUGAUUGUCUACAAGCCCCUGUAAUGAAACAGAGGGAUAAAGCUCAGUAAUGUGAGUAUAUUUGCCCUUCUUCCCUGUGUGCAUUAAGUCCAUUAACAGAAACAGCUCAACAGCAUCAUUCAGGUCAACAGCUUUUAAAACAUGGAUGGAGUCUGUGCUGCAGAAAGAUAGUUCCCAGAGAGGUGGAGAAAUGUGCAGAAAGUUGACAAGGGAGGCAUACACUGAAAACGAAGAGAAACAAAUCUGGUUUACUUAUAGAACAUCCCCACCCUAAAAUUUGAGCAGGCUAAUCUUCUCAAUUUUAUAGAGGAUGUUUCAUCAUUUUUAGCCCUUCUUGCUUCUCUCUCUUCAUAGGUCCAUUUUCUUUGUUUCAUGAGACACAAAUUUGUGGUUAAGAAUGAUAUCAGAAUACAAAUUGAAAGAAUUAUGCCACAAAGGCAUAAAGGAAUUAUUCUGAAUUAUAUCAUAGUAUAAACUGAAAGAAUUAUAUUACUGAACUCAAUGUGUGGAGCUCAGGCGUCAAAGAAACAGAACAGAAAACCAAGUGUUGUGAUAAUAUUAGAGUUUGCGAAGAUCACAAACUUUCAGUUGAAGAGAUGAGAGGACUGGCCUUAAGAGUUCUCAUCAAUAAUCCACAUUUGAGGAAGUUUGAAUCUUUGGAAUAAAGAAAAUGAAUGCUAUCCUGGGAGCGGGAAAUUACUAAGAGAACUAGAAAGGUUGCAAG